rnacentral:rRNA from 1 species
UACGGGGGGGGCAAGCGUUGUUCGGAAUUACUGGGCGUAAAGGGCUCGUAGGUGGCCAACUAAGUCAGACGUGAAAUCCCUCGGCUUAACCGGGGAACUGCGUCUGAUACUGGAUGGCUUGAGUUCGGGAGAGGGAUGCGGAAUUCCAGGUGUAGCGGUGAAAUGCGUAGAUAUCUGGAGGAACACCGGUGGCGAAGGCGGCAUCCUGGACCACGACUGACGCUGAAUAGCGAAAGCCAGGGGAGCAAACGGG